CGGGCUAAAGAAAAUAUUCGAGAAUCUAAUAUGGCGGAAUAAUAUUUUAGUGUCAAAGUGUCAAAUGUUUGUUAAAAGUUUAUAACAAAUAUCAUGUCAAAGUGCGGUGUACAAUAAUGCGGAACAUCAACAAAUAUGCGAAAAUGGUGUAUUUCCUGCAGAAAAAGACGUAAUAUGUAAAAUGAUUAGUAAAAUAACUGGAGCCCGGGCUGAGCACUGAUGGUGAGAACUAGCUCAAUAACUGAGACAUUUAACAGUAUCAAUGCUAGGAAUUUUAAGGUUAUAAAUACAAGACACCCGUCUUACUAAAUCCCUUUCUGGAAGCUAUGUUAUUGAAAAAUUAUUCUUUUUAUAACACUUUUUUGUAUUGUUCUGGCAAAACUGAAGAUGGAAAACCGUCCCUGAAAGCAGAGGUUCUUAAGCACUGCAGAGACCAGAUAUGCAAAAAACAAAAUUUAUACCAUAUAACAAAUGUAUUGAGAAAAGAAGUCAGAAGGAUAAAUAUACAAAAAAAAUAUUGAGGCAGAAGUUACAAGAAAGUGUCAAAUGUGCUGACAAUUUUGCUUAUCUCCCAGCAACAUUAAAUAAGAGGGCUCGUAAUUUUAUAUUAAGGCAACUAAGAGAAC